GGCGAACGCUGGCGGCGUGCCUAAUACAUGCAAGUCGAGCGGACCACUUCGGUGGUCAGCGGCGGACGGGUGAGUAACACGUGGGCAACCUGCCUGUAAGACUGGGAUAACACCGGGAAACCGGUGCUAAUACCGGAUAAUCCUUUCCUUCACAUGAGGGAAAGCUGAAAGACGGUUUCGGCUGUCACUUACAGAUGGGCCCGCGGCGCAUUAGCUAGUUGGUGAGGUAACGGCUCACCAAGGCAACGAUGCGUAGCCGACCUGAGAGGGUGAUCGGCCACACUGGGACUGAGACACGGCCCAGACUCCUACGGGAGGCAGCAGUAGGGAAUCUUCCGCAAUGGACGAAAGUCUGACGGAGCAACGCCGCGUGAGCGAUGAAGGCCUUCGGGUCGUAAAGCUCUGUUGUCAGGGAAGAACAAGUACCGGAGUAACCGCCGGUACCUUGACGGUACCUGACCAGAAAGCCACGGCUAACUACGUGCCAGCCGCCGCAGUAAUAC
rnacentral:rRNA from 1 species